rnacentral:rRNA from 1 species
AAUAUUUCACAAUGGAGGAAACUCUGAUGCAGCGACGCCGCGUGAACGAUGAAAGCCUUCGGGUCGUUAAGUUCUGUCCUAGGGGACGAUAAUGACGGUACCCUAGGAGGAAGCCCCGGCUAACUACGUGCCAGCAGCCGCGGUAAUACGUAGGGGGCGCGCGUUGUCCGGAAUUAUUGGGGGUAAAGGGUUCGUGGGAGGUCUUUUAAGUCAGAUGUGAAAGGUCACGGCUCAACCGUGGUAGGCAUUUGAAACUGAGAGACUUGAGUGAAGGAGAGGAAAGUGGAAUUCCUAGUGUAGCGGUGAAAUGCGUAGAUAUUAGGAGGAAUACCAGUGGCGAAGGCGGCUUUCUGGACUUAAACUGACGCUGAGGAACGAAAGCGUGGGGAGCAAACAGG